GAUGAACGCUGGCGGCGUGCCUAAUACAUGCAAGUCGAGCGAACGGACGAGAAGCUUGCGUCUCUGAUGUUAGCGGCGGACGGGUGAGUAACACGUGGAUAACCUACCUAUAAUACUGGGAUAACUUCGGGAAACCGGAGCUAAUACCGGAUAAUAUUUUGAACCGCAGGGUUCAAAAGUGAAAGACGGUCUUGCUGUCACUUAUAGAUGGAUCCGCGCUGCAUUAGCUAGUUGGUAAGGUAACGGCUUACCAAGGCAACGAUGCAUAGCCGACCUGAGAGGGUGAUCGGCCACACUGGAACUGAGACACGGUCCAGACUCCUACGGGAGGCAGCAGUAGGGAAUCUUCCGCAAUGGGCGAAAGCCUGACGGAGCAACGCCGCGUGAGUGAUGAAGGUCUUCGGAUCGUAAAACUCUGUUAUUAGGGAAGAACAUAUGUGUAAGUAACUGUGCACAUCUUGACGGUACCUAAUCAGAAAGCCACGGCUAACUACGUG
rnacentral:rRNA from 1 species